UACAGAGGGGGCAAGCGUUGUUCGGAAUUACUGGGCGUAAAGGGCGCGUAGGCGGCCUGUUAAGUCGAACGUGAAAUCCCUGGGCUCAACCCAGGAACUGCGUCCGAUACUGGCAGGCUUGAAUCCGGGAGAGGGAUGUGGAAUUCCAGGUGUAGCGGUGAAAUGCGUAGAUAUCUGGAGGAACACCGGUGGCGAAGGCGGCAUCCUGGACCGUUAUUGACGCUGAGGCGCGAAAUCCAGUGGAGCAAACUUG
rnacentral:rRNA from 1 species